GUUUGAAUUAGUUCAUACUUACACAUGCAUGCCUUAAUCUUUGAGACAAGCAUAUGACUACUGGCAGGAUCAACCAAGUAGCAUCCGUCACCGACCCUGCGCACCGAGCUGCCGACGCCCCCCGCGAGGGGAAGCUUUCGAAGGACAUGGCGGCAGGCGUCUUUCCGAGAAACCGAAUCAUCUGAGGGACAGACGGGGAUCUAAGACCCCAUCCCAACCGCGUGCACCGCACUAGCGAGAACAGAACGCGCACGCAGGCCACCAUUGCCGCGCAGAGUGCCGAGACGGGUAGGACCACGGGCGUGUCUUGGAACUCCCCCGGCAAUCCCACUAGGGGACUCCGGAGAGGAAAGGUUGGGGCAAGGCAGGGAUACCACACCAUGGGGUAGGAAACACAGGAGCCGCACAACAGUGGAACGAGCACGGUAGCUCGAACCCACACAUGGAGAGGAUCCAGUGCGCCCGUUCAUUGCGCGAGGCAAGGAGCCAGACAGAACUCAUGACCCACACACCACUCAUCCGCCAACACGGUCCGCAAACCCAGCACUCCCAGACGAACCGCGUCCCGCACGCCAAGACGCGUGCAGGCAAGCGAAAGCAUACGGGAGGGCCGGGCCAACGCCGCUGGGCAGGGUUCAGGGGAAGCGACGAAGAACAUUCAAGGGACAGCCAGAUGCGUGAGGUGCUUCGGGCGAUAGCCGAACAGCCGCACCGUCUUAAGCAACACGCCCAAC